CUGAAACACGGCCCAAACUCCUACGGGAGGCAGCAGUAAGGAAUCUUCCGCAAUGGACGAAAGUCUGACGGAACAACGCCGCGUGAACGAUGAAGGCCUUCGGGUCGUAAAGUUCUGUUGGCAGGGAAGAACAAGUACCGGAAUAACUGCCGGUACCUUGACGGUACCUGACCAGAAAGCCACGGCUAACUACGUGCCAACAGCCGCGGUAAUACGUAAGUGGCAAGCGUUGUCCGGAAUUAUUGGGCGUAAAGCGCGCGCAGGCGGUUCCUUUAAGUCUGAAGUGAAAGCCCCCGGCUCAACCGGGGAGGGUCAUUGGAAACUGGGGAACUUGAGUGCAGAAGAAGAAAACGGAAUUCCACGUGUAGCGGUGAAAUGCGUAGAGAUGUGGAGGAACACCAGUGGCGAAGGCGGCUCUCUGGUCUGGAACUGACGCUGAAGCGCGAAAAGCGUGGGGGAGCGAACAGGAUUAGAUACCCCUGGUAGUCCACGCCGUAAAACGAUGAGUGCUAAGUGGUUAGAAGGGUUUCCGCCCCUUUAGUGCUGCAGCAAAACGCAUUAAAGCACUUCCGCCCUGGGGGAGUACGGGCCGCCAAGGCUGAAAACUCCAAAGGGAAUUGGACGGGGGGCCCGCACCAAGCGGUGGGAAGCAUGGGGGUUUUAAUUUCGAAAGCAACGCCGAAAAAAACCUUUACCAGGGUCUUGGACAUCCUUCUGAACAACCCCUAAAAGAA
rnacentral:rRNA from 1 species